rnacentral:lncRNA from 1 species
AUAAAAUUUUCUAUCAUUUUAUCUGUUAUAAUUUUUUAAAUUACAAAAAAAUUAAAAACAAAAGAAUUUUCAAUUGUUACAGCAAGUAUAGUUGUACUUUUCAAAUAAAAAAAAAUAAAAACAAAAGAAUUUUAAUUUAUAUUCUACAUCAGGUAUAGUUGUACUUUAUAUACAAAAUGCUUACAUGCAUGUUAAUUGAUGAGUAUAAUAAGCUAUACAUAGCAAAAAUUAAUAAUAACUUGCCUAAAUCUUUCAAAAUAACAUUAUAAAAGCUUACUGGAACCAAAAAAACUUAAAUAAAUUCGUGCCAAAGCGUGCCAGUAGGAGGUCGUGCGUAUCUGUCGGCACGCAAGCGUGCCACGUGUCGGCACGCAAGCGUGCCCGUGCCGUACCGUGCCAAGGACGUAGCGGCACGCCCCCGUGC